UAUACCAGAAAGCCUAAUCCUUAUAAAAAAGGAACGGGGGAUUAAUUUAGGGGGUUAAACUGUUUUUUUGGGAUAAAACAGGAUAUUACUAAAAAUAACCGGAAAAUUUUCGUCAUUAUCUUUUUUAACGGCUAUAUGCAUCAGGUUAUUUUUUAAGCAAUCCGAUUGUUAUUCCAAAAACGUGGGGGAAAUCCGCUCUCUCCUAACCCGUCAACUAACCUCGUCGGCUUAGAGAGGAGAAUUA
rnacentral:sRNA from 2 species